rnacentral:miRNA from 1 species
CCGGUCGGAGCCAAGAGACGCGGC